rnacentral:rRNA from 1 species
UACGAAGGGUGCUAGCGUUGUUCGGAAUUAUUGGGCGUAAAGGGCGUGUAGGCGGAAAUAUGCGUCAGGUGUGAAAUCCCUAGGCUUAACCUAGGAAUUGCAUUUGAUACGGUAUAUCUAAGAGUGCGAGAAGGGAAAACGGAAUGGCGAGUGGAGCAGUGAAAUGCGUUGAUAUUCGUUGGAACACCGGAGGCGAAGGCGGUUUUCUGGCUCGUAACUGACGCUGAGGCGCGAAAGUGUGGGGAGCAAACAGG